AUUGAACGCUGGCGGCAUGCCCUACACAUGCAAGUCGAACGGCAGCAUGAUCUAGCUUGCUAGAUUGAUGGCGAGUGGCGAACGGGUGAGUAAUACAUCGGAACGUGCCCUGUAGUGGGGGAUAACUAGUCGAAAGAUUAGCUAAUACCGCAUACGACCUGAGGGUGAAAGUGGGGGACCGCAAGGCCUCAUGCUAUAGGAGCGGCCGAUGUCUGAUUAGCUAGUUGGUGAGGUAAAGGCUCACCAAGGCGACGAUCAGUAGCUGGUCUGAGAGGACGAUCAGCCACACUGGGACUGAGACACGGCCCAGACUCCUACGGGAGGCAGCAGUGGGGAAUUUUGGACAAUGGGCGAAAGCCUGAUCCAGCAAUGCCGCGUGUGUGAAGAAGGCCUUCGGGUUGUAAAGCACCUUUGUCCGGAAAGAAAUGGCUCUGGUUAAUACCUGGGGUCGAUGACGGUACCGGAAGAAUAAGGACCGGCUAACUACGUG
rnacentral:rRNA from 1 species